AAUGUGAUUGUAUGCAGCCAGGCGGCAUCACUUAAAGCCAUAAGAGCAUCUUUGGGCAUGCAGAAGUUUUCACGCCACGUAUUUUCAUCAGCUACUCCUUCCACAAAGUUCUCCUCCAUCACUAGAUCUCCCAGGUCUCGUUCACAGCCGUCUGGCUCCUCCCACCAAUCGCUGCAUCCAGAAUGUGAUGGAGGUAAUUCCAGAUCCUUCUCUGUUCACUAAUACUAUCUGUACAUAUCCUGGACAUUUGGUGGAAAGACUCCUGUAAGUUUAUUAGAGCUGCCAGAGCAGCUUGAAGGUCCCACCAUGGAAAUAAUCCCACGUUUCUUUAUU